UUAAGCUUCUCUUCCGCCUCUUUGGAAGCCAUUCAUUUUCCAGAAACCUUCUUCCUUGUCUACAAUUAUUUCCUGACCAGAAAUUAAAAAGAAAAACAUUCUCCAUCUUAUUAUCUAUGUCGACUUCAUGUACUGAUUCCUCAACCGAGUCAGAUGAUGAGGACGGGAGUGCAAUGACUUGUCUCACAAAAAUAUGGGAUUUGGUGGCAUCGGUAAUUAAAUAGAGCAAACGUGGAAAUGGGAGCGGAAUUUUAGUCUUUUGUUCUAGAAUAUCGAGGUUAAGACGAAUGGGGACAUUGGAAUGGUAUUUCUGUGUUUUACUAAUUUAUUUUAAGAGAAAUGGUAAGUAGACUGUCUAGCAUUUCUCUCAACUUUUCACCUGCCUUACAAGAUUUUUGUUAUUAAUAUUCUUUAGUAGAAUUUUCGAACCUGAACGCGGAAAUGGGCAUUCAGUCCUUACCGUGUGUUGGGAAGUGCUCGUUUCCAUGAAUCUUGUUGCUAAUUUGGGUUAAAAAAAUGGCUUGAUAGGGAAGAGGUCGAUAGCAUCUCUUGGCGGGAUUUGAAGGUUGCUAUGAGCUUUUGGUAUGUGAACAAUUGCCUUGUAGGGCGCCAAGUAAUUGUUGGUGAGUUUGACAAGCCAUUAGUUGAGAAUGAGUCGGACCGUGAUAGGAUGAUGAAACUAUGUGCCUUUGUCAUGAUCGAGUAUGAUGAUAGGCUAAUGACGGUCGAGCAAUGCAAUGAAAAGCUUCGAGAAGACAAGAAGCUAGUGGAUGCCGUCAAGAAGGAGCGCAAGCCUCGGAUUGAGGCCAUCUAGCUCAAGGACCAAGCUUUGGAGAGGGUAAAGCGGCGAGAUGAGGAUAACCUAAGGCUUAAAAAGCAGCUGGAGGUGGUUAUCUUUGAGGCGUCCAAUGUCAGAGAGGAGUAAGAUAGUGCCUUAGUCAAGGUCUCUGAGCUAAAAAAGAGUCUCCCUGAUGAGAGGGAAGAUGCCGUGCAGGAGUUUUUGGGCACUCAGACUUCCACAAGUUUAUAAGGCCUUACUACACCCCAAGAGAUUCGGCAUGAGGGGUGGCUAUUCUCGAGCGAUACCAUGGUGAAGGUGUCAUUAACUGGUCAUGCUUUGAGAAAUACCAGAAGGAGGUGGAGCAUGAGGAUGAUGCCAGUGCCGACAAGCAGACUCAGCAGGGUGAAGAUGGUAUUGGAAAUGGCAAUGGUGGUU